GAUGAACGCUGGCGGCGUGCCUAAUACAUGCAAGUCGAGCGAACAGACGAGGAGCUUGCUCCUCUGACGUUAGCGGCGGACGGGUGAGUAACACGUGGAUAACCUACCUAUAAGACUGGGAUAACUUCGGGAAACCGGAGCUAAUACCGGAUAAUAUAUUGAACCGCAUGGUUCAAUAGUGAAAGACGGUUUUGCUGUCACUUAUAGAUGGAUCCGCGCCGCAUUAGCUAGUUGGGAAGGUAACGGCUUACCAAGGCAACGAUGCGUAGCCGACCUGAGAGGGUGAUCGGCCACACUGGAACUGAGACACGGUCCAGACUCCGACGGGAGGCAGCAGUAGGGAAUCUUCCGCAAUGGGCGAAAGCUUGACGGAGCAACGCCGCGUGAGUGAUGAAGGUCUUCGGAUCGUAAAACUCUGUUAUUAGGGAAGAACAAAUGUGCAAGUAACUAUGCACGUCUUGACGGUACCUAAUCAGAAAGCCACGGCUAACUACGUG
rnacentral:rRNA from 1 species